rnacentral:tRNA from 1 species
GGACAAGAAGGGAGCUGCCUCAGGUCGACCGGACUUUCUGUCACGUUCUGUUGUAAACUCAAGGAGGAAACCUAAGGUUGGAGAGGAGAGGCGCUGCCUUUAAUCGGCAUGUGACAGUGUGUGUGUUUGUGUGAGUGCGUGUGUGUGCGUUUCCGUCCGUCCAUUAGUCUUUCCGUCAAAAUCUAGAGAAUGAAGAAAAUUAUGAACUUGGCCAGAAGAUUGAAGAUGUUCUUUGGAGAUAUGAAAAUUGGAUCAUAUGGGGGAUGCUGCACGAAAACAAACCAUAAUUUUCGAGAAAAAAAAGUUAAAUUUUUUACCUCAGCAAACCUCAUUUAAAUGUUUGGAUGUGUUCAAAUGUCAAAAAAAGGUAUGGGUGAGGAUGCAGAGAGAAAAAAAAAAAAAAAAAAACACCUUCCAUAGAGAUAGAGAUUAGUCCAUUUGCAAAGCGUAAAAUAGGCUCCUUCGCAUGUCGGUAAUCGGAUGUUCACUCAUCCUUAACCAUCUCACCUAUUCUGCGUUUGACAGUGUUAUCUGGCAGUGAAAAUUGAUUUGCAGUCUUUUUCUCCUAACAUCACCGUGGCCAAAUUUAAUUAAUUUCCAAGUGCGCUUUCAGAUCGUAACUAUGAGUCAUGCUACAGCACUUGUGCCCUAACUAUUUCAGGAUGGCGCCCCCUUGGCUUCUGCUUGAUGCCAGCAAUCUGUCCAUUCAUCGAAAGGUUUACACCGACGGGGAGCUUUUCGCGCUCACUGACAUUACGUGACGAAGACGGACGAGGUUCAAGGCGGGCGACACUGCGCGUCAAAUCAGAACAAAACGAAUGGCCUCCGACAUUUCCUAAUUCCCCCGCUAAGUGAGACAGUGAAAGAUGGCGCCCCCUUGGCUUCUGCUUGAUGCCAGCAAUCUGUCCAUUCAUCGAAAGGUUUACACCGACGGGGAGCUUUUCGCGCUCACUGACAUUACGUGACGAAGACGGACGAGGUUCAAGGCGGGCGACACUGCGCGUCAAAUCAGAACAAAACGAAUGGCCUCCGACAUUUCCUAAUUCCCCCGCUAAGUGAGACAGUGAAAGAUGGCGCCCCCUUGGCUUCUGCUUGAUGCCAGCAAUCUGUCCAUUCAUCGAAAGGUUUACACCGACGGGGAGCUUUUCGCGCUCACUGACAUUACGUGACGAAGACGGACGAGGAUCAAGGCGGGCGACACUGCGCGUCAAAUCAGAACAAAACGAAUGGCCUCCGACAUUUCCUAAUUCCCCCGCUAAGUGAGACAGUGAAAGAUGGCGCCCCCUUGGCUUCUGCUUGAUGCCAGCAAUCUGUCCAUUCAUCGAAAGGUUUACACCGACGGGGAGCUUUUCGCGCUCACUGACAUUACGUGACGAAGACGGACGAGGAUCAAGGCGGGCGACACUGCGCGUCAAAUCAGAACAAAACGAAUGGCCUCCGACAUUUCCUAAUUCCCCCGCUAAGUGAGACAGUGAAAGUAAUUCUUAAUCCCUACAUUUCGUAUUGUUAAAAAGGUCUCCAUACACCUAGAAUAAUAUCGGCUUCUGGGCACCUUUCUCGUUAGUCAGGCAUAUCAAGAUAGAUGCAUUGGAGCACUGCAAUAACCUGAAUAACGGUUGACUUUUGAAAAUCCUUUAUGCAAAAUAUGUGACCGAUGAUACACACCAUUAUAUAGUUAUGAAAAAUCUUUUGAAAUUAGCAGAGCGUAGUUUCGAUCUACGGACCUCUGGGUUAUGGGCCCAGCACGCUUCCACUGCGCCACUCUGCUCUCCCUUAUUUAUGUGUAUGCACUGAAAUGUCAAUUACACAAACGGAUUUUCUGAGGCCAGAACUUGCUGAAAGUU